AAAACGGAGAGUUUGAUCCUGGCUCAGGAUGAACGCUGGCGGUAUGCUUAACACAUGCAAGUCGAACGGAGUUCUUCGGAACUUAGUGGCGGACGGGUGAGUAACGCGUGAGAAUCUGGCUUCAGGUUCGGGACAACAGUUGGAAACGGCUGCUAAUACCGGAUGUGCCUUAGGGUGAAAGAUUUAUCACCUGAAGAUGAGCUCGCGUCUGAUUAGCUAGUAGGUGUGGUAAGAGCGCACCUAGGCGACGAUCAGUAGCUGGUCUGAGAGGA
rfam:Scytonema tolypothrichoides VB-61278 scaffold_4, whole genome shotgun sequence.